UCGAAGUUAUUGGUGAGGGUUGUAGCUGGCCUUUCGGGGCACGUGCACGCCCGAGCCCUUAAUCCACUUUACACCUGUGAACCUAAUGUAGGUCGCCCCUCAAAAGGUGGCCUACGUCUUAUCAUCAACCCAUUGUAUGUCUCAUAGAAUGGAUAAUGUUAUAGCGUGUAAUAGCGCGAAUAUAUA
rnacentral:misc_RNA from 1 species